UACGUAGGGUGCGAGCGUUAAUCGGAAUUACUGGGCGUAAAGCGUGCGCAGGCGGUCUGUUAAGACAGAUGUGAAAUCCCCAGGCUUAACCUGGGAACUGCAUUCGAGACUGCAUAGCUAGAGUAUGGGAGAGGGAAGUGGAAUUUCAGGUGUAGCGGUGAAAUGCGUAGAUAUCUGAAGGAACAUCAGUGGCGAAAAGCGACUUCCUGGACCAAUACUGACGCUCAUGUGCGAAAGCGUGGGGAGCAAACAGG
rnacentral:rRNA from 1 species